AGGACAAGAAUCCUCAUUUAUGGGGAACUGGGAAAGUACUUAAAGUGAUGAUUUUGUUCUGCCAGGGUGAGCCCGGUCUGAAGGAAUGCCUGCCUGCUUAGCCUUUCCUGGAUCCGUCUACUCUGGUCAUUAUUGAAGUGGAUGUUGGAGGCUGCAGCUGUCACUAAGACACGUAGAGUGCCUGUUUGAUAUUAACGGUACCUUGGGGCCCAUUCCCAGCACGGAGAAAGUCAACGUGAGAAUUCACACCAGAAAAGUGGAUAUCAGGGGUAAGUGUAGCUGACCUCUAAAAAAGAAGCUUCAUCUGAGGACCAUCUUCUCCGUGUGAGAGAGACACUGCACUAAUGAAAUCUUAACAAAAUGCCAGCCCAAAGAAGACCUGUACAGUGACACUGGUUGACACCUGCUGUGAUGAAACAUCACAACCAAAAGCAACUUGGGGAAAAAGGGGUUUAUUUGACCUUACAGUCCUAUAGUCCAUUAUGAAGGGAAGUCAUGGCAGUUUUGCUAUCCAUGGCUUGUUCAACAAGCUUUUCUACACAACUCAGGACCACCUACCCAAGGAUAAGGCUCACAGUGAGCUGGACUCUCUCACAUCAAUCAAGAAAAUGCCACACAGACAUAUCUACAGGCAAAUCUGAUUUUCUCACUUGAGAUUCCCUCUUCCUAGAUGACUGGAACUUGUGACAAGUUGACAAAAAACUAACCAACACGGAAUCCCUGUGUGGAUGGGGAAAAUCUUACAAGGUCUCCUCUUUAAAUCAAGAGUCACAGACAAUCAAUGACUAAUGACGGGGAGAAUCAGACUUAUCCAAGGUCUAGAAGGUUAUCUAACCUCAAGUGGUCACCUCUAAAACACAUGUACAUAUACACGACACUAAAGGGACUCAUCAGGUUGCAUUUAUAUAUAUGUACCUCCCCCUCUUUGUGUGUGUGUAUGUGUACACUGCAUAGCAAUGAUAACGAGAGAAGAAUUCAUUAAUUUGAGGAGUUUGGGGGACAUGGGAAGAGUUGGA